UACAGAGGGUGCAAGCGUUGUUCGGAAUUAUUGGGCGUAAAGGGCGCGUAGGCGGAUGGCAUAGUCAGAUGUGAAAUUCCCGGGCUUAACCUGGGGACUGCAUUUGAUACGUGUCGUCUUGAGUUCGGAAGAGGGUCGUGGAAUUCCCAGUGUAGAGGUGAAAUUCGUAGAUAUUGGGAAGAACACCGGUGGCGAAGGCGGCGACCUGGUCCUUGACUGACGCUGAGGCGCGAAAGCGUGGGGAGCAAACAGG
rnacentral:rRNA from 1 species